rnacentral:tRNA from 1 species
GGUUUAGUUAUGGUUGAAUGAACUUCUAAGCCAUCGGUCGGGGGUUCGAAUCCCUCCUGGAACGCCA